UACAGAGGAGCCAAGCGUUGUCCGGAUUGACUGGGCGUAAAGCGCACGCAGGCGGUUGCGCGCGUGGGGGGUGAAAUCUGGCCGCUUAACGGCCAGGCGCCAUCCCAUACGGCGCGACUGGAGGCUUGCAGAGGUCGGUGGAAUUGCCGGUGUAGUGGUGAAAUGCGUAGAGAUCCGGAGGAACACCAGAGGCGAAAGCGGCGUCCUGGGGUGAGGUUGACGCUCAGACACGAAAGCAUGGGGAGCGAACGGG
rnacentral:rRNA from 1 species